UAGUAAUUGGAAAUAUUGUUUGCUAAAAUUGAUAUGGUAUCCUGAUGAAUAUUAUUUACUUGGUAUAAUUUGAACGCCCGUGCUUGAUAUAUUUUCACUUGAAAUCUAUGUAUAUGUAACAUAGACAUAUAGGUCAUUUUCUCAUAAAUUUGAAAAGUCAACUUCCUUAGUCUAGAAUACUUGCAGUAUCUGCUGUAACACUUUAUUGCAAGUCCCACCUCACAAAAUCCCAAGUUAAGAGCUGUUACGAACUAUUGGGGGAGUAUUGACUGAAAUACUAAUGGAGGAUGGAUUUUUCCAUGAUAUACUUAGUAACCUUUACCAUGUCCAUAUGUAACUUUUGAUGAUAUACUUAGUAGCCAAGGAGAGUCAUCCUUCAAAGCCUUGCUGAUAAAGACAUCACUGUUUUCUAUUUAGCAUCGUGGCAUCAAACCCCGAAUUGGAUAUCAUUUUAUGGAGGAGAUAGUUUGUAUUCAAACUUUGCAAGAAAUGCCUUUCAACACACUUUGAUGACUUUUCUAGUGCAAAAGAGAGACCAAAGCAGUGUGUUUCUGCUGAAGUGAUGGCUGGUAUUCUUCAUUCUGAUGUUAAUGCCUUUCAGAGGCAUGGAAUGAGUGGCUGAUGGAUCAACUUCACAACAUUAUUAUGGUGACACUGAUUGGGAAGUUUGUAUAUGCUAUGUGGAAUCCUCCUAUUGAAAGCAAAUAUUAGACUUCUUAAUAUGCUAACCAUUACCCCAAAUGACAUCUACUAGUGUAGUUUCAAAAAGGUUGGCUAUGUAGGGAUGAUUGAAUUACCACAAAAAGAAGCUUGGAUAAAUGUCCUAUCCUUUCUGAGUUGGCGGUGAAUAUCAUAAGCAUAAAUCAUUUGGAAAGCAUUGAGAUCAAUGGAGAAGAAACUUUUGAGAAUGCCUCAAUUAGGCUGCAAAUUGUGGUAUUGAUUCCAGUGGACCAUGGAGCUGUCUUCAUGAUGCUAUUGGAGCUUUUAGUUGUGACAGGUUAUCUGGGAACCAAUUCUUGUUCAACUUGACACUUGAUGUAAAAUUCAUUUCUGAUCUGGACCAAGCCUUGAUUGGAACUUCCUUUCUUUUGCUGCAUGCUUUCGAGAACAUGUUCAAAUGCCAAUGUGGGAGAUUGGUAUCAUCAUCUCUUCAUCCUUCAGUACCAUUUCCACCUCUUCCUUCCCAGCCCAUGAGAAAAUACUCGUUCGAGUUGGUGAUGAACUCUUACCUCGUGAAAAAGCCUUGUGUGGGGAUGCAGUGUGGUAAGGUCUCUAUAUGUACAAUGGAAAAAAGUCUUUAAGCUUAAUGAUAGCUUAAUUCUAUUGAGAUAUCAAACUAUCUCCUGGUGGAAUUGAAAUUCUUAUCCUAUUAGACUUCUCAAUAUUGUCUAGUGAUCUUGGCUUUCUGAUAUCAUCAACAUAUCCUCGGGCUUUAUUAUUCUAUAUCAGCCCCUGAGCUAGGCUCUAUUCUCAAUAAUUCUUUAUAUAUAUACUGAUCAAUUCCCUUAUGUGCAUACCUUAAUUCUAUUGAGAUAUCGAACUAUCUUCGGAUGGAAUUGAAAUUCUUAUCCUAUUAGACUUCUCAAUAUUGUCUAGUGAUCUUGGCUUUCUGAUAUCAUCGACAUAUCCUCGGGCUAUAUUAUUCUAUAACAGCCCCUGGGCUAGGCUCUUUUCACAAAUAUCCCUAGCAGAUUGAUUUUCUCAACUUAUUGGUAUUUUAUCCUCAGAAGUGACUUGUCUCCUAGUCUUAUUGGUAUUUUCAAUAUUAUACCUUAUUGAUCUGCUCGGUUGGGACAUUAUUGGACUUUUGGUAUUCUUGGUUUUCUGGUUAUCAUCCUCCACACCAAGGGAUCAAACUUCUUUCCUCGGUCGGGACAUUAUUGGACUUCUGGUAUUCUUGGUUUUCUGGUUAUCAUCCUCCUGACCAAGGGAUCAAACUCCUUUCCCCGGUCAGGACAUUAUUGGACUUCUGGUAUUCUUGGUUUUCUGGUUAUCAUCCUCCUGACCAAGGGAUCAAACUCCUUUCCUCGGUCGGGACAU